UAGACCUUUACAGAUGAUGCAGAAGCUUAGCAGUAAAAGCCUUCACGAGGUCCUGUUCAUUCCUCUAUGUCCAUCAAACAUUUCCACAUGUUCAUGGUGGGAAAAAAGGGGUUCGAAAAGGAUGGUUCAACCUUUUCUUAGAACUUGGUGGGGUCGAUACAAUGCAUAAACGGAAGAGGUAACACUUGGUCAGUUGGUCUACCAUCUUACAUUUGUCAGUACCUUUUUUUUUUUUUUACUGUUUUUGCGUCUUGCAGCCUAGUACUGAGAAUUUUCGUUCUUAUUUAUUUUCAUCUGUGAUCUCUUUUCACAGUUGUCUUUUAUGUUUUUAUAUUUUAAAAAAGUCUGGAAUAAUGGCCAUACUUCAUGAUGUAUUUCCUCCUCUGUUACUGUUUAGGUUUCUCUCCCAAAUGAUCAACCCCCUAGGAUUCGUUGGUCCCAUUACAUUUUGGAUCCAACACUUUCAUCCUAGAAGAAGACAAUUACAACUCGACCGGACCCUAUUGAUAUUUCGAUUAUUAAUGUAGUAGGCCUCUUUUUCCCCCCAA